ACUGGACUAACCCUUAUAUCUGACCCAACCUACUGGACUAACCCUUAUAUCUGACCCAACCUACUGAAUUACCCUUCAAUCUGGCCCAACCUACUGGACUAAAUUGUAUAUCUGCCCCAACCUAGUGGACUAACCUUGAUAUCUGGCCCAACCUACUGACUAACCCUUAUAUCUGGCCCAACCUCCCGGAACAUCCCUUACAUCUGCCCCACCCCACUGGCCCAACCCUUAUAUCUGUCCCAACCCACUGGACUAACCCUAACAUCUGUCCCAACCCACCGGACUAACCCCUACAUCUGUCCCAACCCACUAGACUAACCCCUACAUCUGUCCCAACCCACUGGACUAACCCUUACAUCUGUCCCANNNNNNNNNNACACUACAGAGUUAGAUGGACUACACUAUAGAGUUAUAGAUGGACUACACUACAGAGUUAGAUGGACUACACUAUAGAGUUAUAGAUGGACUACACUACAGAGUUAGAUGGACUACACUAUAGAGUUAUAGAUGGACUACACCCUUGUUUUAAUGCCGUAUGUAUUCAAUGCUGUAUGUUUGAAUGUUUUAUGUUGAACGCUGUAUGGACUUCAUGGUGGAUUCAGGGACUUUUUUUUCUCUCAAUGCAACAAAUCAUACUGCUGUAACUAAUCAUGACUCUUACAGUUUCUCCUGCCCCACCCAGAGAUGGUUUGGCAUCAAUCCCAAAGACCUCUGUGCGCCGUUAUGUUAACCUGGUCCCAGAUCUGUUUGUGCUGUACAGCCAACUCCUAUGGUCAUUGUCACAAGACGGCACACAACUGAUCUGGGACCAGGCUACUAUUUUGUAGCUUAACACUGACUUGGUACCAAAGCAGCUGUUACAGCCCCCACCCAUGGCUGACUACAGAUAGCAGCUACUGUAAGGGACGGCUUGCUCUGUGGAAUGAAACUGUUCUCUUUUAUACCAUCAAUGGUGCUUGUACUAAAGUGGUUGAAUUAUUGUUGUUGUUCAUUGUGUUUUUGUAUUCGUUUUUUUUUGUGUUGUCUAGGGGGUUUAUUUCUCAGACAAAACCAGAAUAUCACGGCGUUAUAAUGAGUUAUAAACCAGAGUAAUCACUGAGAGUUACAAUGAGACAUAAAUUAGAACUUGAAUGAAUGUUUUUAUGAAUGUGUGGGGGAAAAACGGAACUACUGACACCUGCAUGAAUGUCCUGGAAUUAUGAUUCAGCUUUACAGGAACGCUAUGAAGUAGCCUACAUGUUGAAUAUAGAUUUAUAAAUGGAUCCUUUCUUGUUUUCAACAACGUUAGUUUUACAAGUUAAGCGGAUUUGUCAUAUCAAACUCAUAUGUCAAUGCAAUGUUUUAAGUUGAUCACUUGCCAUGACAUACUGUUUGUUUUAAUGUCUGGGGUGUUGUCAUGUAUUUUAUGGAUUAAGGCAACAAACAUAGUCCAAUAUUUAUGUUUUUAAGGCUUUGGGGGGAGGGGGGGGGGGGAAGCAUGCAUUCGUUGUUAUUCUCUUUAAGGGAAUGCUGCGAUAUCGGAUUUGUAUCUUAAGCAUAAUGUAAAUAUAACAUGUUUUGUAAACAGAGCAUACAAGUGCAAUGGGGUCCCAAAUGAUUGACAUCCCUGAUAAAGACGAGUAAAACUAACUGUCUAAAAGACAUAAUUCAUAUACGGAGCUAUUAUUUUAUUAUUUUAUACUAUACUGAUACAACACCACAGGUGGGCGUGGCCAAAGUGCUCUGUUUUCAUGUCAUCUGACCACAGCACUGGUUCCAAUCCAAGUGCCAAUGCAGUUUAUUCAACUCCAGGAGUUUACAUUUGUUGGAUAACAGUCAAUACUACAGUAGAAAAAUAAGUCUAUAUAUGAUGUGAGCAAAUGGCGUGAGGAGGUAAGGCAAAAAAUAGGCCAUAGUAGCAAAGUAAUUACAAUUUACACUGGAGUGAUAGAUGUGCAGAUGAUAAUGUGCAAGUUUGAAUUGAAGAGGGCCAGUCCAUAAAUGCAGAUGAAGGAUAUCAAAGAUCUGGAAAGAUUCUGUAUGGAGGAACAGUCUAAGAUCCCUCCCAAUGUAUUCUCCAACUCAUAAAACAUUUUACAGAAAAGCUCAGUGCUGUUAUCCUCGCAAGGUGAGGUAUUGAAAGGUAUUGAAAACGGGUGUCAAUAAUUGUUUUAUUACUUGUUAACAAGAUCUGUUUGUCUGAGCAAUUGUAGUAGUAUUCAUUAGUAUAAUUUCCCACAUUUUUUGGAUCAUACAAUAUAGCAUUUUACAUUUUACAAUGAUUUUAUAGAGUCAUUUUUGCUCAUCUUUAUCAAGGGUGUCACUAAUUGUGGACCGCACUGUAUUUAAAUAAGACGUUCCUUCUGAAAGGUAUUUUGUUCAACUCUAUUUUUGGUAUUGAUAUAUAUAUAUAUAUUCAAUGGGUAAAUAUAAAGCAAAUUUAUAUAUUUGAACUCUAUUCUCUUCGUAAAGUAUGUUCUAAUGAAUAUUGGUAUUAGAAUAACAUGAAUGUUUUGAUAAAAUAUAUUUCAUGCGUUGACAUCUGAUCUGCUGUGUCUAUAAUUGGACCAUGAGACUACUCUUAACUCUAUUUACCAUAUGGAAAACCUAUUUUUGUAUUUUCACGUCGUGCUUUUUAACUGUUCACUGUGGAUGUGUGUCAAAUACACAUCAUAUUUUAUAACUAAUAAAGACCAAGUAAUUAAAUGGGUUUUGUUAUUGAGAUUUCAUAUCAACAAGGGUCAGUAGUUUUUCUUGACCAAGUUGCCUGACUAACAGUUGACCAACUUACCUGACCAACAGUUGACCAAGGUACCUGACCAACAGUUGACCAACAGUUGACCAAGUUAGCUGACCAAGUUAGCUGACCAACAGUUGACCAAGUUACCUGACCAAGUUAGCUGACCAACAGUUGACCAAGUUAGCUGACCAACAGUUGACCAAGUUACCUGACCAACAGUUUACCAAGUUACCUGACCAAGUUACCUGACCAACAGUUGACCAAGUUACCUGACCAACAGUUGACCAAGUUACCUGACCAAGAGAUCAAGAUCCAUUUAGAUUUAUUAGAAAUACCCUCUGAAGACCAGUUUUUUUUUAGAUUUAUAAGGAUGGCAAUGAGUGACUAUAUUUGAAAUAAUAUUAUUAGUUUGGGCCCUAGUUUUUCCUGUUCAGGUCACGUGUUCAGGAAAAACGGCUGCUCUUUCAUAACAGGAUGAAGCUGCGCCAUGCAGAAGACUGCCAAUAGUCGUGUUUGAAAGCAUCAAUUCUGACAGACUGACUGAUCUACAUAUCAACCCUUGCAUCCAAAAUAAUGGACUCAUUAUGAUUUUGUAGAUCAGUGAUUCUGAACAGGUGGUGAACUGCAAUUGAGUAAAAUGGUGGCUCUCAAACACUACUUGUGAGUUUUCAGCCCUGUCCUUUUUAUGCAAAAAGCUGGUGCUCAGAGAAGAUGGAAUUAUACAGUUCAAACCUCUAAAGGGUUAACCUUUAUAUCUGGCCCAACAUCCUGGAUUAACUCAUAGCAGUGAUAUAUGUGCAAAGAGCAAACAACAAGCUGC
rnacentral:lncRNA from 13 species